CGCAAUCUCGGCUCACUGCAAGCUCCGCCUCCCAGGUUCACGCUAUUCUCCUGCCUCAGCCUCUCGAGUAGCUGGGACUACAGGCACCCGCCACUGCGCCCAGCUAAUUUUUUGUAUUUUUUAGUAGAGACGAGGUUUCACUGUGGUCUCAAUCUCCUGACCUCAUGAUCUGCCCGCCUCGGCCUCCCAAAGUGCUGGGAUUACAGGCGUGAGCCACCGCGCCCAGUCAAUUUUUGUAUUUUUAGUAGAGACGAGGUUUCAGCAUGUUGGCCAGGAUGGUAUUGAUCUCCUGACCUCGUGAUCCACCCACCUCAGCCUCCCAAAGUGCUGGGAUUACAGGUGUGAGCCACUGCUCCCAGCCAAGCCAGCCUUUAGCAACCUCCCUGCCAGGGUCCUGGGGGCCCCUAUUUGUUUCCCCUCCUCUUUUUCCUCCUCCUCAGCAGGCUGAACGUUGGUCCUGAAGUUUGCUUCCAGCAGAGGCCAACGGCCUCCCUUUAAGGCUGGCACAGCAAGAAGACAGUUAUCUGUGAGC
rnacentral:lncRNA from 10 species